rnacentral:lncRNA from 1 species
CGGUAACAGACUUGCUACAAGUUGUUCCAACAAGACUAAUACAGGCUGUUCGUAACAAGUUGCUACGAGCUUGUUGUCAUCAACUUGUUAACAACUUGUUACGUUCAGACGAUAUCAGACUUGUUGGAACAACUUGUUGCGAGUCUGUUGGCCUCAUCAACCUUGCUACAAGAUGAUAACAACUUGUUCCAGACUUGUCAACAACUGGGAACAAGCAGU